rnacentral:rRNA from 1 species
UACGUAGGGUGCAAGCGUUGUCCGGAAUUAUUGGGCGUAAAGAGCUCGUAGGCGGCUUGUUGCGUCGGCUGUGAAAUCCCGGGGCUUAACUCCGAGCGUGCAGCCGAUACGGGCAGGCUAGAGUCCGGUAGGGGAGACUGGAAUUCCUGGUGUAGCGGUGAAAUGCGCAGAUAUCAGGAAGAACACCCGUGGCUAAGGCGGCUCUCUAGUACGGUACUGACGCUGAGACGCGAAAGCGUGGGGAGCGAACAGG